ensembl:lncRNA
AGGGGUCAAAUACAUGAACACAACAACGUGUAGCUAUGAAUGGAGAGGGAUGCUUUAAGAAAACACCGAAACGCAGCACUUUGACCUGAACAAACUAGAACAUUCAUCGGUAUGUAAUAAUGUACAUGGUUGUAAACAGGGUUGACGGGGGGGUUCGAUUCCAUUUCAAAUCAGAAAGUUAAAACCAAAUUACAAUUCCAAAUGUUUCCUCAUUAAAAAGCAUUGACGAUUGUUGAAAUUCCAAUUUUUCCUUCCUGAAUUGAAAUGGAAUUUACCCCCAACCUUGGUUGUAAACUAAUAGAUGUCCACUCUGGGCCACCGUAGUAGUGGACAUAAGAGCCUGGAGUUACUACUGACCCCUUGACCUGACCAGGUAGGCAUAUUUAACAGCUGUUUGGCUGUUGUUUGGCAGACCAGGUUCAUUCAUAUACCAAAUCAAUUCCUUUCCUUUUUAAGACAACACUGACCGGUGUCUAAGAGCAUUGGGCUUAAUAUAAAGGAGACUGGGGCUGCAUGGGAGAUAUCUCAAUCCACUACACUGGCUUCCUUCUUUCAUCUCCUUUCCUUCAUGAUAGGUGAGAGAGGCUUUCACCAUAUGUUGCUUCCACCUGCCAGAUCAGAGAUCACGAAGGAGAAGUACAAUGAAAGGAAGCACGCUUACACUAUUGAGACAGCCCAGGUCCUGUAUCUAGAUUGGGGAAGUAACCUAUUAUACUCACUACUUAAAUAAACACAUUUUUAAAAAAGAAUUUGCAAGGCACAGUGAAAUUUACAACUGGUAAACAUCAGUUACCUAGACAUCAUUAAAUCCAGUAGGUUUCUAGUAAUAUGGCCUAACGACAGAUUCUAAUUUGGUCCAAAAGGAUAGACAAGUUUGAGUGCAUUUGCAGCAAACAGAUGACAUAUCUUAACCUUUAGACAGUACCAGGUCAUAUCUUAACCUUUAGACAGUACCAGGUCAUAUCUUAACCUUUAGACAGUACCAGGUCAUAUCUUAACCUUUAGGUAGUACCAGGUCAUAUCUUAACCUUUAGGUAGUACCAGGUCAUAUCUUAACCUUUAGACAGUACCAGGUCAUAUCUUAACCUUUAGACAGUACCAGGUCAUAUCUUAACCUUUAGACAGUACCAGGUCAUCUCUUAACCUUUAGACAGUACCAGGUCAUAUCUUAACCUUUAGACAGUACCAGGUCAUAUCUUAACCUUUAGACAGUACCAGGUCAUAUCUUAACCUUUAGACAGUACCAGGUCAUGUCUUAACCUUUAGACAGUACCAGGUCAUCUCCAUUGGCAAUCCAAUUGUGAAAGAUCUGUAUUUCUUGACCGGAGUGUUGAGGGUUAAUUGAUAAUCCCGGAUGUUGUUUGGAGUAAAAGGGUGAACGUGAGUUGAUGUACAAAUUGGUGAUCUUUCCAAGACCACUGGUAUAGAGAAAUAUACAUUACCAUUGUUAUCGUCAUAACUAAACUGAAAUGUGUUGCUUUAAAAAAAAACUAAAUUACAUAUUUAAGUAAUAUGCAAUAAUACCAAAACAUCAACCAUGUACUUUUCAAUUCAUAAUGAAACUCACAGAAGAUACCACUUCACAUGUUUCAGCAUUUAAAAGCAAAACAUGUAGAAUAGUAUAAUAGUCCCAUCAUACAAAGACUAACAUUAAGCUGAGACAAAAACCUGCUGAACAAAACAUGAAGCACUGACAGACAGAGAGAACAUGAAGCACUGAGAGAGAGAGAACAUGAAGCACUGACAGACAGAGAGAACAUGAAGCACUGACAGAGAGAGAGAACAUGAAGCACUGAGAGACAGAGAGAACAUGAAGCACAGAGAGAGAGAGAGAACAUGAAGCACUGACAGACAGAGAGAACAUGAAGCACUGAGAGAGAGAACAUGAAGCACUGACAGACAGAGAGAACAUGAAGCACUGAGAGACAGAGAGAACAUGAAGCACUGAGAGACAGAGAGAACAUGAAGCACUGAGAGACAGAGAGAACAUGAAGCACUGAGAGACAGAGAGAACAUGAAGCACUGACAGAGAACAUGAAGCACAGAGACAGAGAGAACAUGAAGCACUGACAGAGAGAGAGAACAUGAAGCACUGACAGAGAGAACAUGAAGCACUGACAGAGAGAGAGAACAUGAAGCACUGACAGAGAGAGGGAACAUGAAGCACUGACAGACAGAGAGAACAUGAAGCACUGAGAGAGAGAACAUGAAGCACUGAGAGAGAGAGAGAACAUGAAGCACUGAGAGAGAGAGAGAACAUGAAGCACUGAGAGAGAGAGAGAACAUGAAGCACUGACAGACAGAGAGAACAUGAAGCACUGACAGACAGAGAGAACAUGAAGCACUGACAGAGAGAGGGAACAUGAAGCACUGAGAGAGAGAGAGAACAUGAAGCACUGACAGACAGAGAGAACAUGAAGCACUGACAGAGAGAGAGAACAUGAAGCACUGAGAGAGAACAUGAAGCACAGAGAGAGAGAGAGAACAUGAAGCACUGACAGACAGAGAGAACAUGAAGCACUGACAGAGAGAACAUGAAGCACUGACAGAGAGAACAUGAAGCACUGACAGAGAGAACAUGAAGCACAGAGAGACAGAGAGAACAUGAAGCACAGAGAGACAGAGAGAACAUGAAGCACUGAGAGACAGAGAGAACAUGAAGCACUGAGAGACAGAGAGAACAUGAAGCACUGAGAGACAGAGAGAACAUGAAGCACAGAGAGACAGAGAGAACAUGAAGCACAGAGAGACAGAGAGAACAUGAAGCACUGACAGAGAGAACAUGAAGCACUGACAGAGAGAACAUGAAGCACUGACAGAGAGAGAGAACAUGAAGCACUGAGAGACAGAGAGAACAUGAAGCACUGAGAGACAGAGAGAACAUGAAGCACUGAGAGAGAGAGAGAACAUGAAGCACUGACAGAGAGAAC